rnacentral:rRNA from 1 species
GCGAAGAACCUUACCUGGCCUUGACAUCCACGGAAUUCGGCAGAGAUGCCUUAGUGCCUUCGGGAACCGUGAGACAGGUGCUGCAUGGCUGUCGUCAGCUCGUGUUGUGAAAUGUUGGGUUAAGUCCCACAACGAGCGCAACCCUUAUCCUUUGUUGCCAGCGAUUCGGUCGGGAACUCAAAGGAGACUGCCGGUGAUAAACCGGAGGAAGGUGGGGAUGACGCCAAGUCAUCAUGGCCCUUACGAGUAGGGCUACACACGUGCUACAAUGGCGCAUACAAAGAGAAGCGGACUCGCGAGAGCAAGCGGACCUCAUAAAGUGCGUCGUAGUCCGGAUCGGAGUCUGCAACUCGACUCCGUGAAGUCGGAAUCGCUAGUAAUCGUGGAUCAGAAUGCCACGGUGAAUUCGUUCCCGGGCCUUGUACACACCG